ensembl:lncRNA
UUAGUUUUGGUAAUUUUGGUGAAGAAUUUAAUUUUUAUUUUUUGUUAUUUUUUUAUAAUUUUGUAGAUUUUUGACUGUUUUAUUUAUUUAUUUAUGAUUUUUUUUUUAAAUAUAUACAUUUAGUUUUUAGUUAUUUUCAGUUUUUUGUAGUUUAAGUAUUUCAACUUAAACUGAACAAAAAUGUUUAUUUUUUAUUAUUAUUUUAUUUUAAAGGUUUUGUGCUUUGUUUUUUUUAUUCGUUUUUUAUUAGUAAAAUAAAGAGAUGAUUAUUAUCUUAUUAAUCUUAUUUUAUUUGAUCUAAUCUAUUAUUAAUAAUAUAUAUAGAGAGAGAGAUUUUAGUAAUUUUGCAUCCGUUUUUGUCAGUUUUACUUAUUUUUAAAGGUUUUUAUUUCUAUUUUUCUUUUUAUAAAUAUGUAUAUUUUGUUUUUAGUUUGAGUUUAUUUUCAGUUUUAGUUUCAGUAGGUUUUGUAUUUCAACCUGAAUUCAGUUAAAGUACAAUUUAUUUUUAUUUAUUUUUUUUAAAUAAUCUUAGUUAACGGUAAUAACACUGCGCUCUUGUUCUCACAGCCUUUCUGCUGCAGCUGCUGGUUAAACAAAACUUGAACAAAUAGUGACUUUUUUGCACUUUUUGUCAAUUGGGAAACCUCAGAUCUGCACACUGUUUUAUGCACAAACCGGUUUCCCUUCCCAUAGAAAAUUACAAAUCGAGAAACAGCCACAAUGUCGUCUUUGGAUGAAAAGUAAUGGCAUGUAAAUUUGCUCUUUAGAGUUGCUAAUUAGCAUAAUAAUUUAGAGACAAAUAAAGCUGAGGCGAUUUCCAUAAUGCGCUCUAAUGCAAAGCCAACUUUCACCAAACCACUAAAUUACACCUGAUUUCGCAAAUUGUAAUACGUUUGUUCUGCAUCGCACAAACAAACAAGCAUGCAAACACCAUAAAACGAGUCCUUCCAGCAUUAGCUUGGCUCUGGUUCUGCGAUGAGCAUCUGUGUGAGUUGGGGCAAACGCACCGGCCGCAGCGACUCCAGCGACCGUCAGCCAGAAACGCAGGCCCAGCUUUGAGUUCUGGCUGCACGGCUCUUGCUUUUAAUGAGCCUGGACCGGGCUGACGAGGGGUCGGAUGAGGUCAGGGCUGCCGCUUACCCACAAUCCCCCUCGAUCAGCCUCGGUCCAUGCACACGCCGACAACCCGCUGGCCUUCAUGGGGGGAGGCUGCAUUGUUGUCGGAUCCGCUAGACGUCAGGAACGCAGAGAAACAUGCACACACACACACACACACACACACUAGAGCCAUAUAUUUACACGAGGUUUACAACAAUAGUGCACUUUGAAUCAUAUUCCGUUUGCAAUAACUGCAUAUUUUAUUUUUGUACUCAGCCUCAUUUAUGCAUUUAUGACUAAUAAGUGUUAUUGUUUAUUCACUGGCUUCACUGUGAAUUCAUUUUCUGUUUCCCAAGCAUACAGUGGAACUGCACAUUAUAUAGAUUAGCGUGGACAUCAUAAUGCAUACACCGAUAUGAUGCAUGGUUUUCUCUCGUCCUGACGCUCUUUGCUUUUGGCGGCCGGUGUGUGAACGUCUCUGCUUCUCCUGCCCAGUCCGAACCCCCAUGUCAUUCCCCCACACCCCCCCCCCCACACACACACCCCGACUGGGUCUCAAUGAGGGAGGGUCCCUGGCUGGUGACCGCAGAUGGACAUGAAAUCAUGUCGCCCAUCUAGUCCACGUGUCUUUGACUGUAGAGGGUAUUCUGUGUUUAUUACAUUCAGAUCAUUUCUUUGAAAUGUGUUUUUGUACUACUUUGAAUUGUUUCUUUUCUUUAGUGUUUUAAACACGUCAACUGAAAUCGUGACCGAAUCUGUUUUCAACACCGCAGCCGCUCAACAUGCUGUGUUUCUGAGGAAACGCAUUGUUAGAUCCUGAAUAUGAUGAACUUAUUCUAGUUUUGUGCAUCAUGCGUAUCUAUUAACCGAUCAAGUUAACCGGCAGCUGGUGCUGAGAACAGAUUAGUUAACCAAUAAGCUACAAGAGCCAUAAAUUAAGAAUGUUCUAACUUAAACUCACCUGUCCUGGAGUGUGUGUGUAAUAUGACAAAUACAGUCAAACAUGCUGGAUAUCACCUUCAUCAACGAGCAGAUUCUACUACACCUGGGUUAUUAUAGAUAACUAAACUAAAACCAUAAAAAUGUAUUUUUGUUACUUGAAAUAAAACAAACAUGAAUUGAAAUGAAAUAAAUAAAAACUAAAACAUUAAUAAAAAAAUUUUUUAUAGUGCACACUGAAAUAAAUUUGGUGUCGAAGCAAUUUUAACUCAGAAAUUACUAAUAAAUUUCUCAAAUAAUUAGAAAGAAAUAGCAAGUUGCACAUUGAAUUCUGAAAAUAGUAUUAAAAUAGUAAGACUAAAAUAGUAUUUUCUUUUCAAACACUCCAAUAAUCUUUGUUUUAUAUAUAACUCCAAAAGAUAAUUUUUACAAUAGUCCUCCUAACAAGAUUUGUAAAUGUUACAGUUCUUAUAAUCAGUUAGUUAUUAUAUUCAGGUUGCGCUGUUGCAAACCGGGUACCCUAGCAAACGCAUAGCAACACCCUAGCAACCACCUGGGUACCCUAGCAACUGCAUAGCAACAUCCUAGAAACUGCCCUAAGUACCCUAGCAACCGCAUAGCAACACCCUAGAAACGGGCCUGGGUACCCUAGCAACUGCAUAGCAACACCCUAGAAACGGGCCUGGGUACCCUAGCAACCGCAUAGCAACACCUUAGCAACCACCCCAGGUACCCUAGCAACCACAUUACAAACAAACUAGCAACCAUACUGGGUACCCUAGCAACCGCAUAGCAACACCUUAGCAACCACCCCAGGUACCCUAGCAACCGUAUAGCAACACCCUAGCAACUGCAUAAUAACUGCUGUUGUCUUCUACUGAAACACUGAUAGUAAUGAUGGUUUGUCAGACAGUCACAGGCUUUGGGUGGAAAGCUGAAUGUUUGAUGCUCCAUUGAGCUUGACUUACAUAACAGACUGAGAGCAGAGACUCAAACCCAGCUCUGGAAUGAGGCUAGUUAUGCUUUAUAUCUAUAUUGUGCUCAUAUAUCAGACAGUAACAGAGCUCAUCACUCUGUAAUUAUUUGUGUAAUCUGUGAUGACAGUAAGUGGUUAAUUUCAUCUUGUAAGGACUCAGCAUUAUGAUAUUAUCCAAUUAGUUAAGACAUAAAACUAGUGUUCCCGCACACGUGAUGAAUGGAGUGUGACGUCCAGCCGGUUUGACUGUGUUUCUUUUGAAACGGAGACAAAUGAGAGUCUGAUCUCGUCUGGACGAGGUGAAGUAAACAUAUCAGGUUUUGUGACCCUUCGCUGUUUCGUUCGCGCGUUGUUCUCAGACCUCACCGACAUCAUCCACAGUCCGUAGGUUGGAGUCGUGGUCGUGUGAGUUCAGUAGAUGUUGUCAAAGUGGCCUGUGAUUCGAUGUUGUUGAUGGGUUGAACUGUUUUAGUUUAGCUCUUUCUGUUAGCGUUAGCCUCUAGCCGUGCAGUCAGUCACUGUGUUUAGGUGUGGUGAUGAUAGAACGAGAGAUCGGAGGCUCAGCCGGGCUUCCUCUUAACCCACCCUUCCUUCCCAACAACCCCAACGCAUUCAUGAACUGGACGAUGUACUGAAAUGACCUGCCGAUCUGGAUUAUUCUCCGCUGUUUAAAUCAGAAAGGAUUUGUAAAGUAUUCUGGAGCGUAUUCAACAUAUUUGUUCCCUUCUCUGAAUUUAAUCCACAUUGUUUGCAAAAUGCCUGAUGCAAGUUGAGCAAAAUUCAGAAUUUGAUAAUUGGAUUGUGAAAUUGAAUGGAAUUGCAACUCAGGAUGUUGAAUUAAAAUUUUGAAUUUGUAACUUUAAUUGCAUUUCAAAGAAAUUCACCAGUUUUGACUAACUAUGACUAUUUAAUAUGUACAAAAUGUAGGAAGAAAUGUAUGAAUUUCUCAGCCAUAGAGAAAAUUCUUUAAAAGUUUUAUAUUCUCAAAACAAUUAGCAGACAUCUAAAACAAUUAGUGUAUAUAUAUAUAUAUAUAUAUAUAUAU